GGAGGCCUUCACUCCACACCCAGGGUUCUCUGCCAUUAUCCAGCUGCAUUAACAUCCAGAAACAAUGACCAGGGAACCUCAGCUGGGCUCGUGGGACCAGCAGCAGAACCAGUGGUGCUUCCUGCCCUCCCUGCCCUGGCAGAGACCAGCAAGUCCAGCUCCUUCCAACCUCAGCACAGCAAGGCAAUUCUGUGCCACACAGGAACUAAUUUUUGUGAAAACUGUCAGACUGAUGACGCUGCCGACCAUUUCUAAAAAGCUAAAAGGAGGAAAACAAUCUCAGUAACAGAAUCAUCUGCAGUUAGGAUCAUCUCUCUCCUUCCCAAAACAGGCACAGGAACUAUGCCUGAAUUCACAGCUAAUGGGAAAUCUUUUGAUCUUCACAGACACAAAGCUGCCAGCCAAGAAGAGCAGUCAGCACAGGGGGACCUUCUGAAGAAGCACUUAUCCUAAAUUCACCACCACAAUAAAUGUGACACAUCCUGGCUCUGGAGCAGCGCAGCCCUCAGUGAUGAAGACCUGUGAGCAUGUUUAGUACAGCAGAAAAGACAAUGUUAUUUAUAUCCCACAAAGCUGCUUACCCAGCCUCAGAUGUGCCCAGCCACAGUGCAACUGCAGGAAUCCAUCAGGAGGACACCUGAGAUUCCUCCCCACAGAAAGUGAUGGAUCUAACACAGCCAAUCAUCUUCAUGGCAACAAAUGUCAUCUUAAAAGACAGGGGAUAAAAGUUCACAGGGAAGCUGUGCAAAUUCAUGAAAAGAAGAAUGCAUUCCUGGUGACUGAAGGCACAGAAGUCUGUCUCCAGAAGUCUGUGUGUGUUGAAAAAUGUCUGGAAGACAGGAGAUGAUUAGCAGGAAAUAUGCAAGCUUCUACUCCUUGUAUCCUUCUCCAAACAUCCAUUAGCCACUGGUUUGAUUUUCUUUUAAGAGUCAGAACUGCUUUAUUGAUUACAGCCAACAGCUGCAAUUCAGUAGUGGUCCCAGACAUCCAAAGUAAUUUUUUCCCAACAAAGACAAUUUCUGCAGUUGUGUGAAAUGAGAUGACAACACCAUUACUGAGACAUCCUGGGCUGAGGUCAUGUUGUUCCAGUCCAGGUACAAACAGUUCAUAAAUGGAGCUCCCUCCAAACCAUCCCUCUUGUCUGCUCAGGACAACAUCCCCGGGGUGCUGGGAAGCUCUUGGUGCUGAAGAAGCUCCUGAUCCCCUCCCUGCCUGCCUGGCUGGACUGAGCUCAGUCCCUGGGGAGAUGUGUGGGGCAGGCAGGGCUGGAUCACCACGUGCUGAUCCCUUCAGCUCUGGGGAAGGACAGCGGGCUGGGCUCCCACCCAGGCGGUCACUCCUGUCUCAGGAGGUCAGCAAGGAAGCCCCUGCCCAUGGCUGUGCCUUCCAGCCCCCCCAGCAAGCCAAUGUGACAACUUUUUCCUUUAGGAGGGCACAGGAGAAUGAGAGUUUGAUUCUGAGAGCUUGUGUGUUUUGUUCUAGAAACAUAAAACAAGUUUCACUUAAAAAACACAUCUAUUUCACCAUUUUGAUAGCUCAGAAAGAGUUUGGUGAAGCACCUGAAAAAACACAGGGCAUCGCAUUACUCAAGCUGGGAUGUCAGAUUGCAAGAACAUUCAGAAUAGCUCAUUCAUAAAUGCCUUCUUUUAAAAUAUUUGGGGAAAAAAAAUAAUAACCAAAAUAAUUGUACUUUACUUUUCAAUUGAAAUCACUUGCUGAGUCUUAGCCUAGCAUUUUUCAAGCAUGAGUGUUUAAUUUUCUUGCAAAAUCACAUCCCAACAGGUCAAAAAAGCUUUCCACUCUUUCAAAUGCUCUUGCAACACAAGUUGGUGCCUUGAGUUUGAAGACUCAAACCAUUUUUCCUGGCUAGCACCCACUGCCAAGGUUCUGCUUCCCCGCUGGGAGGCCAGACCCAUUCCCAAGCCCAGGGCAGGGUUGUUGUGCUCUAACUGGCUCAGGUGUGCAGGCAAAGAUGUUAGGAGACAGGACAGAACUCCUGAACCUUCACUGGUUUAUCUUAUUUUCCUGGCGACAGUCUUUAAUUGCUCUCCACUGAAAACCUUCAGAAACCUGCUCGGCUCAGUGAUGUCUUCAGGGCAGAACUGGCUGAAGCAUCCAUCCUUUCAGCAGUUCCAGGAGAACUAAGUGCAGAUGCACCAGCCUGUGCUGCUGUUCAGUAUUUCAUUGUUUGCACAGUAGUAGGAGUCAGAUUGUGCACACACAUGCUGUUAAUUAUCUCCGUGGGCCCAGCCCUUUAUCCUCACACAUGGUCUGUAUUCCUUCUUCCCAAACAUGGAACUUUGCAUUCAGCUGUACCAAAGCAUUCACUUGCACUGGCUUUAUCUAGAGAUCCAAAUCUGUGUCACUGUUCUGUCUGAAAACCCCAAAGCUGCUGAUGUGGGAUAUGUUGUGUUUCCCCCAGGCCUGAAGCCAUGCUUUAGGAUGUGGCCAAGUCAUUCUAAGGCUGCGCCAACUGGAUCAAGUUCCCACUUGGAAUUGCAUUCAGACCUCCCCAUUUGUCAUUUGUUAAUCCUUUUAACAUUUGCCACAGCAAAUUUGUAUCAUACCAGUUUAAAUUGUCAUUUGGUAUUAAGUCAAACACCUUACAAAACUCUAGGGUAUGCUGCAUCCACAAGCAAGCUUGUCAACUUAGAAUGAGAUCAAAAGAACUUGGGAAGUCCUCCCUAAAUUGCUGGAAACUGGUACUAACAGCAUUGCUCCCAGGUUCCAGAAGAGCUCUGCAUCUGUUUUCUCCAGGAUCAUCAUCACAGCACUGUGUUCUAAAAGGGCAAACGGAACAGAUUGGUGACUUUGUCCCCCAGUUUUGUGGAGCCCCCAGAAUUGUCAAGUAGCAGUCCCAAGGAAUUUUGGACAGUUAGAAUAAUCUCCAGUGCUCACUGUAGAAGACUGCUGAAUCUGAAGUGUUUGGCCAUGGCAUUGCUGGUUAAACACUCACCCCAAUUUCAGUGAAACAGCAAUAACUAAAAUUACUGGCAGCAAUUCCAUGCUCUUGUCUCCCCAAGGGGUGUUUGCAGGCUUACCCUGCUGAAGUCAUUUACCUCUACAAAGAAAACACAUUUUUAUAAUACAAUUAAAGCUUGUUCCAGGACAAAGCAAAUGUGCUUGCACAUGGCAUUUGUGUGGAUGCUCGGGGCAGGCAGGAAGACUCUGUCAUGUGCUGGGGAGAAUCCUGGCCCCAGUUUCCUUCACUGGGGUCACACACCUCCCUCAUGAGAGUCACAGCUACAGCACAGGGGGUGGGAGGAAAAGGGAAGCUGUUUUACUACCAGAUGCAUAUGUAAAAUUUAUUUAGUGAUACUUUAGGGCAGUGCUGUUGGGAUUCCUGCCCUGCUAAAUAAAAGCCUUAUUGUGAGGAGCCAGUAGAAUGAUUGGAUUAGGGUGUAAGAAUUGUCCAGGCACCAUAAAUGCAAAGAGCACAAGAAACUUGCACCAAAUCAACUCAGUCCUGAACAGUUACCUCUCACAAACAGGUUAACCCCUGUGUUUCAGGGUUUGUAUGCAAAUUUUGAGGAAACCACUUUCUUCAUCCAGAAACCCAUUCUCCAGUGUAAUUUGAAAGAAACCUCUGUGUGCUCUGAAUGUUCAAUACUUCCAUGCACAGCAAGGUCUUGUUCACAAGGUGUUCUCUGCAGAGAACAGGGCUGGCUCUCAGGGACCCCUGCCAGCAUCUGGGGAGGGUCCACUUCGUGCUUUUAUCACAACAAAAAAUAAUAAUUAGGGAAUUGCAACAGUCAGGUCUAGUUUCAGUGCUUCCCAGGUGAAAGAAGUCUCAGGGAAAGGAAGGUAAUGUUGAAGAUUCAGUGCAGACCAUAACUUUUGGAGUGUGCCUUGCACAUAUUGCCCAUUACAGUUUCCAGAGAGCUAUUUUAUAAUUUCGGAGUCUGUCCAAAAAAUCUGAUGGAGAGCUUUGAACUUUGCCAAGGGGAAGGAGUGUGCAGCCAGGCUAUAGAAAUAACAUGUACAGUUUAACUUACAGUAGAAAUGCAGUCUUUGAAAUUGUGAAACAAGAAGAUGAAAGUUCCUACCUUGAAGGUCAUUGGAGGGAUAAAGGAGGAAGAAGUAGUAAAUUGAGAAAUAAAGCCUCUCUCACAAUGUCUUUUAAAUAUAAACACACUGGUUUGGUUUGUUAAAACCAAAAUUUCAUGCUUGACUUGAACUGAGUUUCCUUGAUUUAUGUUAUACCUACCACAUGUAGUCACCCUUCACACUGGGACACUCCUGAGGCUUAACACUCCAGGCUGAGCACUGCUUGUGAUUAAUUCAAAUUGUCUUUGUUCUUUCCACCAGCUCCUACUCCAAAUGAUGGCAAGAAAAAGGAGCGGAGAGCAGGGACAGGAGCUGUGGAAACACAGACAUUAUGUACUCCACUAAGCAGAUCCCCUUCUCUCCCUUAUGUUGUUUGAGCACUGUGGGUGAGCCCCCACCCCCAGGUUUUUUCCAAGUGAACUUUAUAAAGAAAUAUGAAUCAUUAUAAACAUCCUUAGUGCUCCUAUUGAGAACAUGCAUAUCCACAAGAGGAAAGGCUUUUCCACAACUGCGACUCCGAUAUAUUCCAAGCUGGUUUAAGAAACACUGAGUGAACUCAGCAUCCAUAACCAGAGUGUUACACUUCUGCAAUUCAUUAGUCCUCGAGGUUCCAUUCCGUAAUUAAAAUACUUUGCAGUUUAAGGCUUUACAAUAAAGAAUGUGCAGUCCUCAGCAGUGUUUCCACUGCCAGUCUAUGGAAAACAUAUGCAUGGAAAAUCUGUGCAGUGCAUGUGCACAGCCAUCUUUGGAUAGCUUCAGUGAACAUUCAACGCUGUCGGUGAGUUUGAGAAUAGAAAAAACCAUCGACCGUUGACUGUACCUUGAGGUUUAUCACAAACCCUCUGUUAAAUGGAAAGCCUGAACCUUCAGAGAUUUCACAUGUGGUUGCCAUUAGCAGGUCAUGAUUUACAGAUUAUAUUAAGAGCUACAGAGGUUGAGUUUUUCCAGUUCUGCUUUCUCUAAAAGUGAAUUGGUGUAUAAGAAAUGCUUGUUUUCUCUUAAAAAAAAAAAGAAUUAAAGCUUUAUACUAACACAGAAUUUCUGCAGAACAGAGUAUAAGAGAUCAAUGGAAGGUUUUGUAUGGGCAGCACAAAAGCAGGAACGUAUCCACACCAUAUGGGACACUUGGAAACAAAUCUGAGCAUGGUAUAUAUUCAAAAUAGCAGAAUAUAGGCCAGAUCAGGAUGGAAACCUUUCCAUUUGGGCUGGCAACUUGAGCUUUGCUGGAAGAAGCUUUGGAAUGUCAGUUCAUUUGCUCCCAGGAACCUGCACUCUGUCCCAGCAGCUGCUCACCGGCGAGGAGCGGCUCCCUGCGGGCCAGGUCCAGCUGCUCCCACGGCUCAGGCUGUCCCUGCAGCCAGGCCAGCAAGGAAACAGCCUUCCUUUGCAAGGCACACCAGCCAGGGCUGGGGAGCCUCACUGGUACCCACUGGAACCUUCUCCAGCCCAGCUGGCUGACCAGGACUGCAGGCUCUGGCAGCAGGUGCCUUCCAAGGGUCAGGUGCUUGUUCUGCCUCUGCCCGGACUGCAGAAUCCAUGAAAUGAGGAAAGACAAAGCACGUGCCAGGGAAUGCUGUCUUGGGCUGCUCUGGAGUGACAGCACCCUCGCUGUGGAGUGGCAUCUUCAGCAUCUAAUGGCUGCAAUCAACAUUCAUUGCUGUCGGUGGGUUUUCAUUCCUAUCAACUCACUGAUCAAUGAAUGCAAACUGCGGACCAGCCAGCCAAGGAGCACCCACCCUGAUGGCAGGAAAAGUGACACCUUUGCCAAAGAAAUGCUGUAUCCAAGGUCUGCCUCCCAAAACUGUGUGAGACUGAGCCAUUGUCCCACCAGAGAAGUCCAGGACACAUCAUCCAGCUCCUUCAUGAGCAAAUCUGAGUGCUAAUUAAGAAAUGCACAGGGAUUUUUAAAGGAGCACAACAGCUGAGGAACUAGUUCAGUUUUAAUAAAAGUGACACCUAAUUGGUAAAUCUAUCAGUAAAGCAUAAACCUACAGCUUUACCAGGUUAUAGGAAAUUAAACUUCCUCCUGAGCAAGCCAAGCUGUGGAACAGCACUGGUCCUACAAAGUGACCAGUGAGAGAUGAAAAGGGACUGAACUGUGGGGCUUUGGACUGAUGGGUGAGAACAGGAGAAAGCAAAGCAGAAAAUAGUGAUUUAAGGUACUGCUGCAGAGAACACUCUUCAGGGCUGUGGUGGGCAGGAGCAGCUUCAUUUCUGCUGGGAAGGUGAGGAGCUGGAGCUGGCUGCCUGGGGCAGGCAGGGACCUUCUCCCCCUGCUCUGUGGCUGUGCAGGAGGAGCAGACACAUCUCUGCAUGGCAGACAAACUGACACUGCCCUGAGACACAGGAGCAGCCUCCCGAGCUGCCCUCCAAGUAUUUCCACAUACCUGCUGCAGAAAGGCUCCUGUCUGUGGGCAGUAAAGGGGGGGGCUCCUGUGGUGCCCCCAGGACACUCAGGGUGGUGCAUCUCACCAUGCUCAGCAGUGCUGUCAGUCAGUUCCCUGGGCACUACAGGGUCCAAGCACUUCUCUUAGCCUUGUUUGCUCCUCCAGCUGCUCAGGAUUAUCCUGAAGGAGCCUGUUCAGACAUGCUGUGCUGCCAUCCCACAGGAACCGUGUCCCUCUGUACAGCUCAAGUCAGAACAACUCGCCAAGGACUCAGAAACUCCAGUUUGGUGAAUAUUCAAAAUAUAUCUGCGUGUUCUGUUCAAAGACUUCAACUUGUUCAGUUUUCUACAGGAACAGCUCCACCAAGUUCAACAGCCACACACUAAACAGACUGAACUUCACAAAAGUGGAAUUUUAGGAAAAAAUCUCCCCUCUCCCUGGGUCUGAUAGCAAAGAGCCCUGUUCAGUCACCCACAGCAAGCACUUUCACCAACAGCCAGGUAAGUGUGUUGGCUUGGUACAGGGAAUUUACCACAGCAGUGUAACUGAACAGCCCAAAAGCAUGCCUGCCAACGUGUUUUAACAUUAUGAAAACAGGACAAAUGACUCAUUUUUGAUGCAGUUUGACAUUCUGCCUUUGAAAUCUCAAAAUUUUCAGCAUGCUUGGCAGACUCAUUCGGAAGUGAGAGUGCACAAUUUGGAAUUUUUCCAGAGACAUCUUACAUGAUGUACAAGAAACUGCUUUUGUGUUAUUUUAAAUAGACAAUUCAGCCAACUGUUUUUCCUCAUGUAUACCUGCAUGAAAGUAGAAAAUACAGAAGUCCUGACAGAGGUGUUCAUCUUUACUGUGAGGACGUGAAAAUAAUUGACUGCAAUUACUCUGAAUAAGACAUUUCAGACAAACAGGGAAAAUUACAGUAAAGGGGCCAUUACCCCAGUUUGCCAAUGCACAACAAGCCAAAGGCUUGAGCACACAUUCCACACCUCUCAAAUGCUCUGGAUGCACAAAUAAGCUUAAAAUUCGGGUUCCCACUUGGCUGUAAAAAAUCCUCCAGAAUUUUUUUUUUGCUUUAAUUUUGGUAAGGGAGACAGCAAGGGAAAAAACCAAGGGAAGACAGGCAUGUUCAGAAUGUUUUUAAAUCCAUGCUUGGGAAGCUUUAGAUGUUUGUGUCAGCAGCUGUUUGCUGCCUACCAGAGGCAGCACCCCGCAGAUCCACCUGCCCCGGGGCACAUCAGGGUGACCCUGAGCACCAGCACAGCCAGUGCUGCCACCACCAUGGGACAGCUGGGGACAGCGGGGACCUGCCCAGCAGGACCUGCCCGGGCUCAUCCACCCACUCCAGAGGCCAGCGAGGGCUGGCUCAUCCACCAGAGCUGACCGGGCAGAGACAGACAGGAAGACAUCAAAAGAACUCGAGGAGCUCCGUUUAUUUAGUUUAUCAAAAGUUUAUAUAAAUAUCUUCAUAGGGAACAGACAAGCAUUUUUCAGUUUAGCAGAAGAUAACAGACAUGAAAGCUGUAGCUAGACAAAUGCACACUGGCAGUAACACACAGUUAUUUAAGGGGGGAAAGAGGGUCAGUGUUGGACAGCCCUGCCCUUUUUCUGCAGAUACAUUCUGCUGGGAGAAUACUGUGGAAAAUUUAGUUAUGUUAUAAUACCUGUCAAUGCACAAGAGUAAAUAUGACCUGUAUCAGGCCACAAAGGUUCAACAGAGUAUUAGCCAAUAUAUCAUGAAAUAUUCUACAUAUGCAUGUGAAAUUACCUGUUUCCACAUAAAAGUGAUAAACUGCAUGAAAACCUAGCUAGAUACCAACAAAGACGUGUUUUAUUAAUCACCAGGCAGAUAACUGCACACAUGUUCACAACUCAGAGCCUGCCAUUCAUGCACUCCACAGGGCUGCUCUCACUAUAAAGGACAGAACCAGAUUUUCACUCCCAUCAUGCAGGAACCACAGUUCUCCAAUAAAAGUAAGUGCAAGUCCACCAGCACAAAGGCACGUGGAAAGGACCGUGUCCUGGCUCUGGGAGGCUUUUAGCAGUUGUGAACAUCUGAGCAUGACUUUGAAAUGAGCUGCCAGUUAAAAGUCUGCCACAUUUGAGAAAUCCACCGAGUUCCCAAACAAUGAGAUGAAAAGCUGCUCUCAGUGAGGGUUUCCCAGUCCCACCAGUCUGACAAGGGCCUGUUGCCAUCUAGUGGAUUCCCACCGACUGGUCCCUCCGCACAGCAAAUGCCACUAGAUGGAGUGUUAAGAAGGAAUUCUGAAUUUCUCCUUUUUUAGGUGUCCAGCAGCUCAGAUUUUCAAAGUCUCAAAAAGUUACAGGCCCAGAAUUGCCCUGAAAUUGAGGAGGAUUUCACCAGCUGCUCUGAGUUUCAUGGGAAAUUCCAGGCUACAGAUUUCAAGUUUUAAAAUUAAACACUACAGAAAAAGACUCCCAUGUCAACAUAAUUUACAUCACCUCAGGGGUUUCUAUCACUCAUGCAGGUACCUCCUUCACUGAGAUAUCUCUGGUGGCAACAGAUGUUGCUCGGCCUGCAUUCUUCUGGUGUAAAUAGUGAUGUACAGACCUGGUCUGUGCUGUUUUAGUGAGAAAUACCACAUCAGCUCUCAGCUAUGGGAAUCCCACUUCCAUGAACAAGUAUCAGCUGUAAAACUCCUCCAAGUCUCUGCCAUGGAGUAUCAAUUCACAUCUCUGGAUUAUCUCAGAAUUAGAAAUGCUACCUUGUCACACAUGGCAAGAAAAGGGGUACUUACUGCCCACGGAGUUCACAGGGAGGACAGGAGAGGAAGAACUCAUCUGCUCCACAUCUGCAGCUAAUGGGAAAGUGAAAAUGAGAAAGAUGUGAUGUGCAUGUUACUGAGAAGGUUUUACUUUGAAAACUUUCAUUUACACUGGAAUUGAAUACGCAUGUUUUCAGUCACCCAAGGAAGCUGCUUUGAGGAGCAGGUAAUUUAACAGCAUCAGCUUUCCCCUUUCAAGGUAUACACAUUAUCUGCAGAUCUACUUUUAGCAGUCAUAUUAGUAAUUUGUAACUUAUGAUGGUUUGAGACUAUCAAUUCAGAGCAGCUUCCAGCACAAAGAAAGUCUAAAUUACAUCGGGUUUAAACUGUAUGCAGAGCAUUACUGGGGAAUAAAAGGACAUGAUGAUCUCCCAUCUGUGGCCAGUGAACCUUCAAAAGAUUCCUGAUCAGAAGAGAGAUCCUCUUCCAAAGGCUGGCAAGCUGCUGGAAUUUGAUCUGGAGCAGCAUCAGAAACAAGUGUCUUUAAGCACAAGACACUCCAAAGCUUUAUUUUCUAGCAGCUGAAAGAAGAAACAGAACUUCCUGCCUGUGUCUGCCAGUGAAAACCCUCAAAGUCAGAACGUGAUCAAAAACAAAUGCCCUCUGUGUUUUGGAAAGGAUCCUCCUUUCCAGGACUCAAACCAGGAGAAAACCAUCUUGCACUAACAGGGUCAGUUUUAACCCAAGACUAGGUGAAGCCAAGAUGCAUUCUUUGGGCUUGAUCUCUCUCAAACGACCACAGCCCCUCUCAGCACAUCACCACCAACACCCAAGCCAAGCAGCUCAGUCUCCAGCUCUGUGAUUUUGAUGCUGGUAGGUCCCACAUAAUUAUAUAUUCUGUAACUUGUUUAGCUCUAAGACCCAAUAAAUGCACACUACAAGUCUGCAUUCCUGACCACAGAACACAGCCCCAGAAGCACAACUCCAGCCCACGCCAGGCUUUGCUGCCAGCCCAAAUCCUGCCUUUCACAUUCUUGCAAUUCCCAUUUCUGGGGCAGCAGGCAGUUCCCCGAGGACCACUGUUUACACUGAAAGUGCAAAGUUCUGCUCUAAUUAGGCAAACCACAAACAAAAGUAAACACUUCAGCAGACCAUUUUUAGAGAACGUGAGAGCAGACACUGCAGCACGCUGACUAAAUCCUGCUGCCAUGCUCCACACCACCCCGAGCCUCCUCGGUGCAGCUGCUCAAAGCAGCAGCUUUAGUUCAUCAUGUUAAACACCAGCCAUAGCUGAGAGCAGCAACAAACACAAUUACAGAUUUAUUCAGCAAUGCCCUGGCUUGUCCUGUCCUAUUCCCCAGUGGAUUACCACGGCAUUUACUGCCUGGAACACCUACACAUGAAUUUAUCAUCUUGCAGCAGUGCUCAGAAAGCUGCAUGUGACAUGCUGGCUGCAGACCUCCCAACAGGCUCUGGAUUACACUGCACAGGUCUCUGAUGUGCUCAGAGAAGAAAAAUUAUUUUGUAUCUUCCCAUUUUCCACCUUAUUACUAUAGUCUCCUUAAUUUAGGAACUAGCAAGCCGUAUAUUAUACAUGUUUUGUAAAUUAAAAAAAAAAAACCCAAAACAUAUUCUUCAUAUGCAGUACAGCCAUUUCAGGUUCCUGGCAAGAGUUUUGUACUUUUGCCUAUAGAAAGCCACAUAAGCUUUCACAUAGAUCCAGGUUAAGCCAAGCAGGCUGAAGUUGCUCUGCCUCUCUGGAGUGUGCAGAGUGAGCACAGUGGCUGUCAGGAGGGCUGAGGGGCAGCCCAGCAGAUGGUCACUGCAGCUUACCUGCUGCUCUGGCACACAGAGGUCACUGCCCAGCCCUGGCCAGAUGGCACAGGGCAGGCACUGGAGCAGAGCUGCGAGGGCAGAGUCACUCAGGGCAGUAAGCUACACCUGCCAACAUCUGCAAGAGUUUAUCAAGUAUCAUCCAAAGAGCAACUCAAUAAUGCAUGUGCCUUCUCAAGAGAGGUUUCUGAGUGGAAGUGUUUAGAGAGAGGCAGCACAAAUUCUCCAAGUCCUGAAAUUUUAGAUUGUUCACUGUAAUGCCAGGUUACAGGCUGCAAAAACAGUGAAACUAUUUCCCAGUCAGACUUGGGAAUUCAGUUCAUGCUUGAAAUUAUGUUUUACUGACUAUCUGUAGUAUGUUCACCAGUGCAGAUGCCAUGCUCACCACACCCAGCUGCUCAAGUUUGGGGUCAGAAUUCCCUCAACGUCCUGCCCUGUGCUGCCAGGAACCCAGUGAUCCCACGGCCCUCAAUAGAUGGAUUUAAAAAUUUCUCUCUGUGUGAAAACACAGCUGUUUAUGAAACAUGGCAAUGCUGGUUUGCUCUCUUACCCAUAAUCCCCCACCCUUCCCUCCAGCCCUUUUUACCUUCAUAAUUAUAUGUAAUCCAUUAAAUCCCUAAAAACAGUUUAUCUAAGGGAGAGGAGAUACAGACUAACAACCAGACUAAGAUUUUGGAAAGUGGUUUGCUCUAAGAGAUGAAAAGGACAGAAGUCUGCUCAGCUAUGAAGAGCUGCUGCUGCCAAUACAAGUAUUUACCUCCUGACCUCUCCCCUGCCCACUCAGUGAACAGUGCCAAUUGUUUUCCUUGUUUACAAGCCCUGAGUGGUAUGAAAGGAAUUAAUAAUUCAGCUAAUGGAGCUGAUGACCUUUAUUGGGGUACCCCUAUUUGCUGUUUCUUUUUAAGAGUUUUUCACUUUACAGCCUAAUUUGCCACCACAACAUAAAUCAGUUAUUUCUCCUGUUUUAAGCAACAGGAGAAAUUCUCAACCCCUCAAUUUCUAACUUCCCUUGUAUCAAGCCAGGCCUUGUUCUUUGGCAAGGCCAGCAUGGAGAGCUUUGCAGGAUCAGGAACAUUUGGGAACACCAGCAAAAAGAGAUGAUGCCAUUUUGAACUUCUCUUGACCCUUGCCUGCCCUUGUCCCUGUUCGUGCUAAUUGAAGGGGUAUGUGGGCUACUGCUAGAAAUGAACUUAGCCUGAAGCUGGACUCAGCACUGGACUUUGAGGAUGAGUUGUGGUGCCCCCUCCCCAGCACGGAGGAGCUCAGCAGUGACACAGUGCAGGUGACCCAGGGCACCCUGAGCUCAGGGAUCCCCGAGGUGGGACGGAGCAGAAGGUGCUGACUCAGGGAGUGCCACCACGUCCCCUGCCCAGGAUCAACCACACACCUGGAUCCCCGUGGCACAGCCCAGUGCUGCUUGUGGGCCUGGAGAUGUGCGUGGGACAGGAUGCUCCAGAGGUGACUCUGCCGUGUCCCACACAAGGCACCAAUGCUUCUGCCAAGCUCGUGGCCAGGAGCUGUCACAAGCCCAGCCUGACCCGGCUGUGGGGCUCUCCAGGACCCCCAGCUCUCUCUGCUGAGCUGCUCUCCAGCCUGCACCAUUCCACGGGGUUAUCCAGGUGCAGGACUUGAUGGCUGUGUCUAACUUGGAAGUUUCAAUCAACUUUUUCCUUCAGGUUACUGAGGUCCUUCUGAACAGCAGCUGUGCCCUCCAGAGCAUCAACCUGCAAGCCUGAGGAGUUUGUCCAUCCCUCCAUCCUGGUGGCUGAUGAAAUUGCUCAACAGUGUUGACCCCAACACUGACUCCCAAGGACAGUCACAGUACAAUGGCCACCAGCUAGUGCUUGAACUCGACUGCCACCCUUUGAACAGAACAGCCCAGCUUUGCACCCAAAAAACAGCCCAGGUUUUCAGAUGACAUGGGAGACUGCAUCAGAGGCCUUACCUAAUGCUAAGGUUAAUGACAGAAUGACUCUCUCCUCAUCCAUGAUCCAGUCAUUUCAUCACAGAAGGAAGGAGGUUGCUCAGGCAUGAUCUCUCCCCUUGGAAAACCACAGCGAAUGUUCCCAGUUACCUUCCUGUCCUUCAAGUGCCUGGAAAUGCCUUUUGGGAGGAUUUGCUCCACACCCUGCUCACUGAGGGGCUGAGACAAGGCUGACCAGGCAGCAGUUCCCCAGAGCAGCUACUACUCAGCAGAGCUGAGCUGAAGGUGAUUCAUUAUCCCUUAUCAGCUAAAUUUUACUAUACAGAGACAUUCCUCCCCUUUCCCCUACAUUGGGUAGAGCUUGUCUCACCUCAGUGCUGAAAACACACACUGUUUGCAGAGAGGAAUGGGAAAUAAGGUCAUUUCAUGAUAAAUAUUUUUACUUAUUUUCAUUUAUAUGGAAAACAAUCCCAGUUCUUGCUUACCAACAAAACUGAAAGGAAACCUACUAAGAGAUGCAUCUUCCACGUACCUGCACUGUAUUCCUCAAUAAACUCUACAAACAUUGUUAUUUUAAAUGCCUGUUUACAUUCCAGCAAAAUUCUGUCAGCGUGCUAUCUGAUUUAUUGAUGCCAUCAAAAGUCACAGGAUUCCUGUCGUGCCUCCUGAGGCACAACAAUCAAAGCAGAAAGGAGAUGCAUCUUGCUGUGGUAUCAGCAUUACCACAUACCGUAUGGGCUGGGUUUCCAGAAGCCUCUGUGAUUUCUGGGACAGAGCACAGGGCUCUUCUGGAAAGCUGCUGCUUCCCUGCGAGGUGCAGCAGGCUCUGCUCCUGGAGAAGGGGGUGCUGGGGAGGGAGCACCCCCAGAGCCAGCUCGUGGUGACAGCAGGGCAGCUCUCAGCCAGCCAUUCCUCUAAAGGGGACUCACGCACAUUGGGCAUCUUAUUUCAGACUUUUAGGAUACCAAAAGGGAAAACACAGUCAAGCACCAAUGCUUUUUAGAAAAAUGAUGAUGAUGAUGA